UAAAAUAAAGUACAUAAAAUUUACUUAUACACCCGGUGUAACAAAUAGUAUCAUUUCCUUUAAUAUAGGUAAAAAAAUAUAGAUACCCUAUUUAAUUAUAAUUUCUAAUUUUUUAAUUUUAAUUUUUAUACUUAGUUAAAUUAAAAUGAUCAAAGAUAAUUAUUAAAAUUAUUAAAUCUGGUGAACCUAUUAAUAAAUUUAAUUAAUUUAUAAAAUUUUUGAUAAAAUUAUUUUAGUCAAAAUAUUAAAAGUUUAGAAAGUCUUAUACAACUAUUAAACACUUUGAAAUAGACAACUUAAAAUUAUUUUUUAAUUAUGAUUAAUUAUAGUUAAUUAAACAAAAUAUUUAUUAAAAUUUGUAUAAAUUAAAAAUUUUAAAGUUACUGAAAUACUACAAAUUAUUUAUUAAAAUUUAUAUAAAUUAAAAUAUUUAAAUUUGCUAAAAUAUUAUCUACCCGCCGCGAAGCGCGGGCCUGGCCUACACUAGUCAAAGUUGACACCGUACCCCUUUGAACCUUUUUCAAUUUUUUAAGAGGCCAUGGCGUAAGAUUUUGACAUGAAAAUUUUUUGUAAUUUAGCAUUAUUUUAUUUGUCUCUUUGGACUAUUGGUAGCUUAUGUUUAUCAGUUAAAUUCUUAACAUCCACAACUUCUUUUUUUUUUGAUAAUAUCUAAUAUGUUUUUGAAAACUUCAAAAAUAUGUUAUUCAUUUUUGAAUGACUAAAAUAUUUGUAUUGAUUUUAAAAUGUUCCUUCAAAUAUACCCUUUUCCUCUAUAAUUUUAGUACUAAGAUUGAGUUUUAGAAGAGUACAAGCGAUGUACCCGCACUUUGCCGCGGGUACGAUAGUAUAUACAUACAGAUUUAGGUUCUUCACAUUUUGUAAAUUUUUAAAAGUUUCUUAAACACAAAAGAAAUAUUUAUAAUAUGUUUAUUUUUAAGCCAGUUUGUCUAAAAGAUACAACUAUUCUGAUAAUUUUUGUCGAAGUUACUUCAUUGGUAGGUUCUUAAUUGACCGACUUUAUCAUAUUUUUUAAGAUUUAUGAACAUAUAUUUAAUUUUGUAAUACAUUUUUAAAUUUAGACAUAAUUUGUUCUAAAAUUUGAAUUUACAAUAGAUAAAUGACAAAAAAUGGAGAAGUAUUCUAAUUGGUUUAAUAGUAGGUAGGCAAUGAAACAAAGCAAUUUAGAAAAAUAACUCAAAAUUCCUAUAAUUUAGGAUUUAAAAUUUUAAAUUUUGAAGUUGAAAAUUUGAAAAUAAAUUAAAAUUUCGAUAUCCAAAAUUUAGAAUUAUAAUAUAAUAUAUAUAUAUAUAUAUAGAGAGAGAGAGAGAGAGAGAGGAGGUUUUGAGAGACAGUGUCAUUCUCCAAACCUUGACAAUCAAUGGUCUACGGUGCACCGGGUGUACCAUGUUGUUGAGUCGAACACAUGUCAAGCAAAGAACAAUACCCCCACACAGUACCCGCGCUUUGCAGCGGGUGUGAUUUAUAAGUUUGUAAUAAUUCUAUUAUACAUUGUCAAUACCACAUAAUACAGAUUUAGUAUAUAUAAAUAUUCCUUAGAGCGAAAUAACUAUCAUCAGAAAAUGUAAACAGUUUUUAUACAUAUAGAGGGAAACAGUAGUGCCAACAUUAAUACAUGAAAGUAAUCUAUACGUGACAACAGUAGAAUCCAUAUCAAAUAUGCCUCUUUUUUGUUGGAUCUUAAUAGAGAACUUAUCAUUCUUCAGAGUGUUGUAGGUUAUCUUCAUCAAAUCUACAGAAGAAAAGUAAGAAUCAUUAUUUUUUUUUUGUAAAUCGAAAUGGUAUAAUAGAGUAAAAGUACUUACAUGUUUCGUGGCCUUUUUUUUUUUAGCGUUAUGUGAAGUAGAGGUACACGCAUCUGCACUGGAAAUAAAUUUGAAGACUUUCUUAGUUAUGUAAAGAAAGUAGAAGAAUAUAAUUUUAACAAAGAAAAAAUGUAAAUUUUUGCAAAGUAAUGUUAUACCUAUUGGUACAUAGAUCCUUUGAGAAGGUUGAUGAAAUCAAAUCCUCUACGGAAAAGAUUUUCGUAACCUUGAAAGAAAGGCUAUUGCUUCCAUAGUUUCGAACAUUAAUCAUCUAAUUAAAAUAUCUAAACAUUAUUAACAAAUAUUAUGAAGCACAUAUUCAAUUUUGGUAGAAGGGAAAAAAAAAGAGAAAAUAACUAGGAAGAAUAUGUAAAUGUCAAUGUAUAUUAAGUAAAAAAAACAAAAAAUAAAACUGAAAUCACAUAAAUGGUUGGUGCAUAUUAUACCUUCUUUUUAAAACUUCCUUCCCAAAGAGGCCUGUAAAGAACAAAAAAUAGGAAAAAAAAAGAGAGUAUCAAAACAAAGAACAGAAAAUAGGGGAAAAAAAGAGAAUACCAAAAUAACAACCGUUAAAUUUACAAAAUGCCACGAACUAAAAGAUAUGAAUCAAUUAAAUUCAUAUUAAAAAAGAAUAUAAUUUCAAAGAACAAUAUAACUAAUAGAGAAUUGAGAGAAAGAACUACAGUAAAAACACUUGAAAAUUACCAUACAUAUAUAGGUGAAUAUAAAUAGUAAUUUCCCUAUUUUUUGAAUUAGCAAAAGAGGUAAAAAAUUUGUAAGUAAGCUAGGUAGGGGAAAAAAACUUGUAACUGUCAACAUAAAAACCUUGCAAGUGAAAAAAAUCCAAGUGUCCAAAAAAAAAGGUGUCAAAACCUCUAAAUAUCAUGUGUCAAACUGAGAAAAAAUAUAAUUUCAAAGGACAAUUAAAAAACUUUAAAAUUACAAUACAUAUAUGGGUGAAUAUGAAUGGUAAUUUUUUUAUUUUUUGAAUUAGCAAAAGAGGUAAAAAAUUUGUAUGUGAGCCAUGUAAGGAAAAAAAACUUCCAGCUGUCAACAUAAAAAUCUUGCAAGUGGAAAAAAAAAAUCCAACUGUCAAAAAAAAAAGGUCUAAAAACCUCUAAUGUCAUGUGUCAAACUGAAAUAAAAUCUAAUUUCAAAGGACAAUCUAUAACUAAUAUAGAAGAAUGAAGGAAGGAAUAAUAUACCUAAGUUCUCUGUUUUUUGAAGUAGCAAAAGAGGUCAAAAAUUUGUAUGUGAGCCAUGCAUGUAGGGAAAAAAAAACUUGUACCUGUCAAUAUGCAAAUUUUGCAAGUGGCGAAAAACAAUCCAGGUGUCAAAAAAAAAAAAAAAAAAAAGUANAUUCACUUGGGAAUAAGAUUAAACUCAAAGUACUAAUCUCAUUCCCUUGAGGGAGGGUGGGUAUCCUCAUAUUAAUGAAUUGGGGUAAUCAUAAUAUGUCUAAUCUCUUUCUUUUCUUCCUAUCCGCCGGCUAAUUGAUAUUAUUUUUCUUUACACUCUAACCUUAUAUAUCUCUUUAAACUUAUUUUUCUCCCUAAAUUUCAAUUUUUUUUUCUCUCUCUAAACUAAGCUUUCUCUCUCUCUCUCUUUUUCUAAAAUUUCAACUCUCUCUAUCCCUCUAAUUUUGACUAUAUUUUUCUUUCUUUUUUUUUAAUUAUGCGCUCUCUCUCUAACUUAUACCCUCUCUCCUUUUCUUCUAAAAAGAUGUUGAAACUUUUGGUAAUAUUAUCUAAAAUUAAUUAAAUAAAAAAAUAAAUAAAUUGUAUAUUUUUUGUAAUAUUAAAUAACAUGGCUAAUUAAUAUUACCGUGCGAACCAAACACAGGAAUUCCACAUUCUUAGUAGUAGGAUGAAUAGAAAUAAAAUUUUCGGAUAUCUUUUAUUCCUAAUAAUCUUUCAUAAUGCGAACCAAACGCACCCUAUAUGUCAUGUGUCAAACUGUAAUAAUGAAGAAAAAUUUGCCAACAGAGAGAAAUAAAGAAGAAACUGAACAUUAUUGAUGAGUGGUGAAUGUAAGUGGUGAAUGUAAUUAAUUAAACAGUUGAUCGUCUAUACCCGGAACCAUUUCACGAUCGCUACGGAGGCCGCCAUCAAAAAAUUGACGUACAAUCUUCUUCGCCAUAAGAAGCGAUGGCGCCGCAUUUCUCCAAAACUUUAGCAUGCGAUAGAGAAAUUGAGAGAAAGAGAUCGAAGCAUAGAGUGAGAUGAGAAAAAGAAAGAAACAGAAAGAGAGAAGGAGAGGGAAAGAUUUUAAUAGGAGACAAAAUAGGAGAGGGGUCUGUAAAAAAGAAAGGGCAGGUGAGAAAUGAAAAAAUAUUUCCCUCCCAUCAAUUGCUAUACUUUUGGUUUACAAAAUUUGGCAUUGCAACUUUCCAUAAUUUAAAAUUUGUGAUUAGUAAAUUUGAAAUCACUUUUUAAAAGAGGUAUGUUCCUAUUCUGAUAAUUUUUGUCGAAGUUACUUCAUUUGUAGGUUUUUAAUUGACCGACUUUAUAAUAUUUUUUUAAAUUUAUGAAAGGAAUUAAUGAUUAAAACAAGAAAUAAUCUUAAGAGGGAAUAUUACUAUACACUUUUGGUUUAAAAAAUUUGGUGUCGGAACUUCCCACCAUUUGAAAUUUGUGAUUAGUAAAUUUUAAGUAACUUUUUAAAAUAGGUAUGUGCCUUAGUUGGAAAAAGAAGAGAUUAAUUACUUUUUGAAAAAAAAGAGCAUAAAUGGUAAGUUCAAAUUAAUUUAAUAAGAAAAAAUUUAAAAUUUUAAGUAACUUUUUAAAAUAGGUAUGUGCCUUUGUUGGAAAAAGAAGAAAUUAAUUACUUUUUGAAAAAAAUAGAGCAUAAAUGGCAAGUUCAUAUUAAUUUAAUAAAAAAAAAAUUUUAAAAGGAAAUAUGUCUUUAUUUAGAGAGAGAGAAAAAGUAAUAAAUGAUAAACAACGAUAUUUUGGAAGAAAAGAAGCAUAUAAAUAGUAAAUAUAAAGGGGUUUUUUUGCAAAUAGCCCUCUGACAAAUUUUAUUUGUAAAAAUAGCGCCGUCCAAAAAUUAUUUACAAAAAUGGCCCUGCCCCUGCCAUGUCAGCGCCACGUCAGCGCCACACGGGCAGGGCGGGCCCAGGUAUUUAAGUUGAACACGGUGAACCAUUCACCGUGUUCAAUACAAAAUUUUUGUCAUUCACCGUGUCCAAUACAAAUACCUCAACAAUGACUAAGUUAGAGGUAUUUGUAUUAGACACGAUGAAUUAUUCACCGUGUUCAAUUAAUUAUAUUGGACACGGUGAAUGAUUCACCGUGUGAACCAUUCACGGUGAAUCAUUCACCGUGUCCAAUACAAAAACUUUGUAUUGAACAUGGUGAAUAGUUCACCGUGUUCAACUUAACCAUCUGGCCCAGCCCCGCCCGCGUGGCGCUGACGUGGCGCUUGCAUGGCGGGGCAAAGGCCAUUUUUGCAAAUAAAUUUUUACAGGGCCAAUUUUUAAAAAAAAAAUUGUAAGGGGGCUAUUUGCAUAAAUAGUAAAUAUAAAUUUCUAUUUCUGUAAGGAAUGUAUCUCUUGCUUUGAAAAAAAAGUAAUUACAGAGAUUUUAAAGCACAUUCCUCGAGGUCACUUUGGAAACCCCCAAACUCGGCAGUCUAUGCUGCAGCGGGUGCACAGAAGGACUUCCAUGUGGCAUUUAUUAAUUGGGCCGCAUAUGAAUCUAACCUUCCGGCCUACGGUGCACCAGGUGCACCGUACAGCACAUUUCUCAAGGUCACUUUGAGAACCCCAAACUCUGCGGUGUAUGCUGCAGCAGGUGCACAGCAGGACUUCCAUGAGGCAUUUAUGAAUUGGUCAGCAUAUGAAUCUAACCUUCUGGUCUACGGUGCACCAGGUGCACCGUACAUAAUACCGGAAACACGUGGUAAUAAAUGAACCUAACUACACGGCCUUUAGUAUAUAGUUAUAGAUGUUGGGUAUCUCUCGGUAAAUUUGAAAGGCAUAUAUCUAAAAGCCCUUUUUUUUUUUUUUUAAGUACUUUAGUUUACAUAUCUUUUAUCAUUAUUCUAAAUUUUCAAAUUUACCCCUUAUUUUCAAAAAUGUUCGUGUAAAACUCUAAUCUCAUCAGUAAAUUCUAGAAGGCAAAGGAAUAUUUGAAUAAUUUUUUUCAAAAUAAAAAAGAGUAUUUUUUGUCAACCAGAGAUAAAUUAAAUAUUUUAAAAGUUUUAGAGACAUGUUAGAUAUUAACCCUUUUUUUUAUUAGGACACUAUUUUAUAUAUAUUUUCGUGGCGUGUUUGAUUCAAAAUGGGAAUCAGAAUCAAAAUCGAAACCGUAAUGAAUUGAAAUCGAAAAUGAAAUGGUAAAUUUUUCUAUGUUUGAUUUAGAAUAACUAUUGAAAUCAGAAUAGUUGAUUCUUUUUUUCUUUUUUCUUUUUUUUUUUGAGAGAUAGGUAGCACGCUACCCGCUUCGUUUAUUUCAUUUAGAAAUAAACUUAGCUAGAAAUGUGCAUCAACUAGGAUUCGAACUUGGGUCUCGGGUACCAACCACCAAGCCCUUUGCCAUUUAGAAUAGUUGAUUCUUAUCUUACACUAUUUAAUUUGACAGUACUUGUUGAUUCUAUUUGGUUGCUUUACUUGUUUAUACUUUUUGGUUGAGAUGAAGAAAAUUUUGAGUAUCAAAAGUAGUAAUUAUGAAAAAUUUAAAUUAAAGUAUAAAAUAUAAAAUUGAAUUUAGUGUUGAGUUCACAACUCAAAAUAGAGAUUUAAAUUUAUAAUUUAAAUUUAAGUUAAACUAUUAAAAUUAACAUUGAAAUUUCAAAAUGAUGAGCAAAAAAAUUUAAAAUAUAAUUUUUUGAAAAAACUAAAAUUUAAAAUUGAAUUGACAAUUCAAAACAAAAAACAAAUUUACGAUUUGAAUUCAAUUUCAAGCUUAAAAAUUACAAUUUAAAUUAUAAUUUGAAUCCAUAAACUUAAUUUAAAAUAUAAAAUUUGAACAUAGAGUUUAAAGUUGAAUUUAAAUUCAAUGCUCAAAUUCAAAAUGCUUGAUUGGCUUUAAAAAUUAAAAAUAUAUAUAUAAAUUUACUCUUAUUCCCAUUAUUUAAAUCUAAUCAUUCAAACGUUAUCUUUUUAUUCUUGAAAAUAAUUCAAAAAUAAUUCAAUUCUCAUCCAAACGUAAAGUUGAUCUAAUUCCUAUAAACUCUGACAUUGUUCAUGUAUCAGGAAUAAGCAAGAAAAACUUAUUUCUAAACUAAACGAUACUUUAAGUUUUGGAAACCUCCCCCCCAAUCUGUUUCAUACUUUCUCACUUUAGUACCCUAUAGUUUAAAAUAUAUCAAGUUAGCCCCCGUACUUUCUCACUUUAGUACCCUGUGGUUUAAAGUGUAUCAAGUUAAUACCCUGUGGUUUCAUUUUUAUCUUGUGAAUAUUUGAUAAACCUAGGUAGGGUAUCGGAAGUUUUUUGUAUAUAAUUUAACGAAAUAUUAACACAGGGGCCGACGAAAAGAGAAAAAUGAAGCCACAGAGUGCUAAAUUGAUGCACUUUAAACCACAAGGUACUAAAUUGAUACACUUUAAACUACAGAGUAUUAAAAUGAAAAAGUGCGAAACCACAUGGGUGGUAUUUGAAGUUUUCCCUUAAAAUAUUAUAUGGAGUUCAAUUUAAUAAAAUCUCACUAAUGAUAUUUGCUUUAAAAGAAAAAAAAGGUGAAAAUAACAUAGAGUAGUGAAAAAGAGACAUGCAAGAAACAAACCAUCCAUAAUUCCAUAUUUACAAUGGGAAAUAGUAGUAGUAGUAGUACACUUUAAUAAAAGAAGAGUAAAGAUCUUUACUCUUUAUACUAGGAUUUAAUUUUUUUUUAAAAAAAUUAGUAUUAAAAAAAUAAUUUGAUAAGAUAAUGACCAAAUAUGCCUUCUUAGAUAAUAAAAAAAGUACAAAAUUUAUAUAUCCUUUCUUCUGUGCAAACUUAGGUUACCCCUUGUUGUUUUGCGCACUUUUAAUUAACCAAAGGGCUUUUUUUGCAAAUAGCCCCAUAAAAAAUUUUAUUUUCGAAAAUAGCCCUAUGUAAAAAUUAUUUGCAAAAAUGGCCCUGACCCCGCCCCGUCAGCGCCACGUCAGCGCCACGCGGGCGGGGCUGGGCCAAUUGUAUAAGUUGAACACGGUGAACCAUUCACCGUGUUCAAUACAAGAUUUUUGUAUUGGACACGGUGAAUGGUUCACCGUGUCCAAUACAAAUACAUCCGACUUAGCCAAAAAUAGCUAAGUUGCGGGUGUUUGUAUUGGACACGGUGAACCAUUCACCGUGUCCAAUUAUUUGUAUUGGACACGGUGAUUCACCGUGUCCAAUACAAAUAUAUCCCACUUAGCCAUUUUGUAUUGGACACGGUGAACCAUUCACCGUGUCCAAUACAAAAAUUUUGUAUUGAACACGGUGAAUGGUUCACCGUGUUCAAUAUAAACACUUGGCCCAGCCCCGCCCGCGUGGCGCUGACGUGGCGCUGACGGGGCGGGGCCAGAACCAUUUUUACAAAUAAUUUUUACACAGGGCCAAUUUUAAAAAAAAAAAUUGUCAGGGGGCUAUUUGCAAAAAAACCCCUUAACCAAACUAUAUAAUUUUAAAAAAUAUAUAUUUAACUAUUCUAUAAUCUAAUUUUUAUUUUACUAUAAUAGUAAGAAAUUAAGAAUCCAUUAUUAUCUCUAUUUCUAUUACAUUAAAGGAGGGUUGGGAGAACCUUAGGUUGACACCGGUCCCCCAACCCUCCACUUCAUUCUCUCUCUCCAAACACACACAUAUAAAUAUAUAUAUAUAAUUAAUUUUAUUAAUAAAUUGUAUAAUAGCUUAUUAGUAAUUAAAUUUUGAUAUAAAAAUUUAAAGUUUUGAUACUUUCAAAUUUUAAAAUUUUAAAAUUUUAAAUUCUAAAUUUUAAUUUUAACUUAUAAUAUUCAUAAUUUUAAUUUUAAAUUCCAAAUUAUAAUAAUUAAUUAAAUUAUAAUAUAAUUAAUUAAUUUUAUUAAUAAUACGCAUAAUAAAUCACGUAAUAAAAUCUAAUCUGAUAGAUACAAUUUAAAUCACGUAAAAUAUCGUUGUAUAAAAAAAAUAUAAUAUUUAAAUUUUAGGAGUAAAAUUUUAGAAAUAUAGUGUAUUUCUGUGUAUAUAUAAUUAAUUUUAUUAAACAAUUUCAUUUACAAUUUUAUUUUCCUUCUAUUUAUUGAUUUUUUAAAAUUAUUUUGAUAGAUUUAUCUCAAAUCCUUUUCAUAUGUAUCUUUAUAAAAUAAAUUAUUAUAUAAAUUUACUUUGCGCAUAUAUCAAUUUUAAUGACUUUUAUUUAAAUAGAUUUAACUACUAAAUUAUUUUUAUAUAAUUUUUGUUUAAUUAAUAAUUAGACUUAUAAAACUAUAUAAAAAUAUUAAAAAAAAUAAAAUUUAUUAUAAAAAAUUUUUAUAUCCGCAGCAUCGCGCGGGUAAUUCACUAGUGCCACAUAAAAAUACGGGCGCCAGGUCAUGCUGUCUAAAAUAUAUAGAACGAUAAAAUAUUAAUUAUAGGAUCACAAAAGAAAAAACUAUUUAUACACUUCGACUUGGGUGUAUAAGUUGCACCCACCUAUUUAAUGAACGAGAGUUACUUACUAGUCAUAUUAAGGCUUAGUUUUGUAUUAAGGCUUAUCUUAUAUUUUUAUAUAAAACAGAGUUGAAAUAAGCAUAUAUAUAGAAAUAUGCUUCUACGUUCUCUAGUGGGACUGUAGAAAAUAUAUCGUAACUGACUCAUCGCGAUAAAAGGAACGCAAUAUUACGUACCAAAACAAACAGAAUAUUUUUUCAUCGUACUUUCUUACCGUAUAUAACGCAAUUAAUCUCCCCACAAUUUCAAACAAAAUCUAAAUGACCAGUGAAAAUACCUUGUCUUUUGAAUAACCGAGGUAUUAGCUAUACAUUCC
rnacentral:lncRNA from 1 species